UACGAAGGGGGCUAGCGUUGCUCGGAAUCACUGGGCGUAAAGGGUGCGUAGGCGGGUCUUUAAGCCAGGGGUGAAAUCCUGGAGCUCAACUCCAGAACUGCCUUUGAUACUGAGGAUCUUGAGUUCGGGAGAGGUGAGUGGAACUGCGAGUGUAGAGGUGAAAUUCGUAGAUAUUCGCAAGAACACCAGUGGCGAAGGCGGCUCACUGGCCCGGUACUGACGCUGAGGUGCGAAAGCGUGGGGAGCAAACAGG
rnacentral:rRNA from 1 species